rnacentral:rRNA from 1 species
CCUACGGGAGGCAGCAGUGGGGAAUAUUGCACAAUGGGGGAAACCCUGAUGCAGCGACGCCGCGUGAGUGAAGAAGGAUUUCGGUACGUAAACCUCUAUUAGUAGGGAAGAUAAUGACGGUACCUGACGAAUAAGCACCGGCUAACUACGUGCCAGCAGCCGCGGUAAUACGUAGGGGGCAAGCGUUAUCCGGAUUUACUGGGCGUAAAGGGAGCGUAGACGGCAGCGCAAGUCAGAAGUGAAAUCCCAUGGCUUAACCAUAGAACUGCAUUUGAAACUGUGCUGCUAGAGUACAGGAGAGGUAGGCGGAAUUCCUGGUGUAGCGGUGAAAUGCGUAGAUAUUAAGAGGAACACCAAUGGCGAAGGCGACUUACUAGACUGUAACUGACGUUGAGGCUCGAAAGCGUGGGGAGCAAACAGGAUUAGAUACCCGAGUAGUC